AGUGAACGCUGGCGGUAGGCCUAACACAUGCAAGUCGAACGGCAGCACAGUAAGAGCUUGCUCUUACGGGUGGCGAGUGGCGGACGGGUGAGGAAUACAUCGGAAUCUACUUUUUCGUGGGGGAUAACGUAGGGAAACUUACGCUAAUACCGCAUACGACCUACGGGUGAAAGCAGGGGAUCUUCUGACCUUGCGCGAUUGAAUGAGCCGAUGUAGGAUUAGCUAGUUGGCGGGGUAAAGGCCCACCAAUGCGACGAUCCGUAGCUGGUCUGAGAGGAUGAUCAGCCACACUGGAACUGAGACGCGGUCCAGACUCCUACGGAGGGCAGCAGUGGGGAAUAUUGGACAAUGGGCGCAAGCCUGAUCCAACCAUACCGCGUGGGUGAAGAAGGCCUUCGGGUUGUAAAGCCCUUUUGUUGGGAAAGAAAAGCAGCAGGUUAAUACCCCGCUGUUCUGACGGUACCCAAAGAAUAAGCACCGGCUAACUUCGUG
rnacentral:rRNA from 1 species